GUGCAAUUUCUUCGGCGGUCUAGGGUUAGGGCUUCUCGGGAUCUCGCCAUCGUUUCCUCGUCUCGUUCGAUCAGCUCCGCACAUAGAGUGAUCAAAGCAAAUAAAGCAUCCCUUGUUUGUUCGAUCUCUCUGAAAAUCAACAGUCAAGAGUUCAUGUCUGAGCUUGACAGCCAGCUCCCCUCUGCUUUUGACCCGUUUGCUGAUGCGAAUGCUGAGGACUCUGGUGCGGGCACCAAGGAGUAUGUGCAUGUGCGCAUACAGCAGAGGAACGGUCGCAAGAGCCUGACGACUGUGCAAGGGUUGAAGAAAGAGUUCAGCUACAAUAAGAUCUUGAAGGACCUCAAAAAGGAAUUCUGCUGCAAUGGUACUGUGGUCCAGGACCCAGAGUUAGGCCAGGUUAUCCAACUCCAAGGUGAUCAGCGCAAGAAUGUUUCGACUUUUCUUGUCAAUGCUGGUAUUGUGAAGAAAGAGCGUAUCAAGAUCCACGGGUUUUGAAAGACUCGUCAUUCAAUCUGGAGUUCUAAAAUAGUGCGUUUAUUUGGUUUGCAUUUUAUGUACUCGUUACUAUUCUGCCUGGAUAUAGAGGGCAGCAUAUCAUUAGAUGGCUUGUCUGUGUGCUACAUGUGUUGAGAACAUAUUGAAUUAUGUGGUUACGAC
rnacentral:misc_RNA from 1 species